rnacentral:lncRNA from 1 species
GUUUUCUCACUGUUUCUUGUUUUCUCCUUUUUCCGUUUCUUCUGUUUCUAACUCUUCUCUCUUCUUUUUUUUCAGUUUUCCUUGUUGGUUUAUGUCCUUCCGUUUUUGUUUUCUUGUUUUUCAAAUGUUUUCUCUUCCUCUUUUUAAAAAUGUGUUCCUCUCCGCCUUUUUUCUUCUAUCUGUGUGUAGAUAUAUAGUGCAUGUGU